UACGUAGGGACCAAGCGUUGUUCGGAUUUACUGGGCGUAAAGAGCGUGUAGGCGGCCAGGUAGGUCUGCUGUGAAAACUCGAGGCUCAACCUCGAGACGUCGGCGGAAACCAUCUGGCUAGAGUCCGGAAGAGGAGAGUGGAAUUCCUGGUGUAGCGGUGAAAUGCGCAGAUAUCAGGAAGAACACCCGUGGCGAAGGCGGCUCUCUGGGACGGUACUGACGCUGAGACGCGAAAGCUAGGGGAGCGAACAGG
rnacentral:rRNA from 1 species